GAUGAACGCUGGCGGUAUCCUUUACACAUGCAAGUCGUACGAAGAUAAAAUUGUGCUUGCACGAUUUUAUACUUAGUGGCGGACGGGUGAGUAACACGUAAGAAUCUACCUUUUGGCGAGGGACAACCACUGGAAACGGUGGCUAAUACCUCAUAUAACUGAGAAGUGAAAGAUGAAAAUCACCAAGAGAUGAGCUUGCGUCUGAUUAGCUAGUUGGUAAGGUAAAGGCUUACCAAGGCGACGAUCAGUAGCUGGUCUGAGAGGAUGAUCAGCCACACUGGGACUGAGACACGGCCCAGACUCCUACGGGAGGCAGCAGUGAGGAAUUUUCCGCAAUGGGCGAAAGCCUGACGGAGCAAUACCGCGUGAAGGAUUAAGGCCUAUGGGUUGUAAACUUCCUUUCUCAGAGAAGAAUUUUGACGGUAUCUGAGGAAUAAGCAUCGGCUAACUCUGUG
rnacentral:rRNA from 1 species